GUGGGGAAUAUUGCACAAUGGGCGCAAGCCUGAUGCAGCGACGCCGCGUGAGGGAUGGAGGCCUUCGGGUUGUAAACCUCUUUCGUCAGGGAAGAAGCGUAAGUGACGGUACCUGGGGAAGAAGCACCGGCUAACUACGUGCCAGCAGCCGCGGUAAUACGUAGGGUGCGAGCGUUGUCCGGAAUUAUUGGGCGUAAAGAGCUUGUAGGCGGUUUGUCGCGUCUGCCGUGAAAAUUCAGUGCUUAACGCUGGACGUGCGGUGGGUACGGGCAGGCUAGAGUGUGGUAGGGGAGACUGGAAUUCCUGGUGUAGCGGUGAAAUGCGCAGAUAUCAGGAGGAACACCGAUGGCGAAGGCAGGUCUCUGGGCCAUAACUGACGCUGAGAAGCGAAAGCAUGGGGAGCGAACAGGAUUAGAUACCCGAGUAGUCC
rnacentral:rRNA from 1 species